rnacentral:lncRNA from 1 species
CAGAGGCUUUGCUCUAGAUCUUCUGGUGACGGGGUCUGCCUGUCAGUUAAUCAGAACACGGCGGGCAGUCUGUGUAUAGCCAAGCACAAUGAAUCACUUGUUCUGUGUUUGGGGGAAGAGGAGGUACAGUUCUCUCGCGGUCUCUUUCCUUCCUCUCCUCUGUGUGGUUCACCCAAGCCACUUCUCAUCCUCCUCCUUAGUUUGCAGAAAUUGGUAUCAGAAGUUUUGUUUUGACCUGUGUUAUUGCCUCCAGUUGUAACAAUGCUCCAGAGUUCCCACUGUGGCUCAGUGCAUUAAGGACCCAAGGUAGUCUUUGUGAGGAUGUGGAUUUGAACCCUGGCCUUACUCAGUGGGUUCAGGACCCAGCAUUGCCAUAUGCUGUGUUGCAGGUCACAGAUGUGGCUCAGAUCUGACUUGGCUGUGACUGUGGCUGGCAGCUGCAGCUCCCAUUCAGCCCCUGGCUGGGGAACUUCAUAUGCUUAGGGUCGGCAGUAAGGAGAAAAAAUAAAGACCAAAAACAGUUGUAAUAAUGCUCCUAUUGCCAGGACAUCAGUGAUCAGAAAUGUUGGUGAUUCGGCGUUAUAUAACGAAGAACACGGGCUCGGGAAGCAGACAGCCCUGUCUCUACCACUUAUGAGCUGUGUGACCUGAGCAAGGAGCUUAGCUCAUCCAGCAAAAGUAGCAGGUGUUUGCAUGGGUUCCAACAUCCUUGGAAGCAAAGACUGUGUGACCUUGUCCUAGACACAAGGUAUUAAAGUAAGUGCUACCUGCCACAACAGAGAGAGCUGCAAACCUUCAUGCAUUCGCCUAGUAGAGUUUAUUUCUCACUCACUGACAUUUUCAGUGCCGACUUAGGCUCUGCUCCGUGCGGGUCAGGACCCAGGGUGCCACCAUCAUCUCGUGACCUCUGAGAUCAUCUGCCACCUUCAUCUCAUGACCUCUGCACUUGUCUUGGGCACCAGCAUGCAGAGGGAAGAUGGGACGCGAGAGAGGAAGGUCACUGGGGGACUUCUCGGGCUUACCUUGCACGAGGUGGGCACACCGACACCCACUCAUCCUUGCUCAUCUCUCCUUAACAGGCAGGAGGGCUGCGGGGUGCAGUCUGGCUGUGUGUGCAGCCAAAGGGAGAAGCGCAUUUGGUGAGCCGGUCCAUGGCAUGUGCCACAGCGGACGCUCUGAGAGGAGCAGACACGGUGCUUGCCCUCCACCUAAAAACCAGCGGGAGAGGUUGGGGCGACACAUGUGAGGUCAUCCAAGAAGAAAGAUGUUCUGCUUACGCUCUGACCCUGGUACCCGAGCGAUGUGGCAGAGGGGGCAUGGUGGGCUGGCUUAGAUGGGAAAGGGCUUUCUGGAGCGGGUGGCAUUUGACACCUGAUCUAAAACUUGAAUUUGUUCUUAAAGACCCGUAAGAAUUGGACAUGAAGGGGUGGGAUUGGGAUUCAUGUGGCAGGACAAGAAACAGUUUAUCCUUUGGCAUCACCCACAUCUUACACAUGGGCCUUAUGUCCACAACAGAAGACUGACGGGCUGAUCAUUGGUCCCUAAACAUGUGUGAGAUCAGUACGUGUCUGCGAGGCCUGCUUGAUGUCCUUCUCAGGACAUAUGUUCUGGCUGUUCCCAGAUCUUCUGCCUGAAAGAUGCCCCCACCCACCUACCCAGCAUGACUUCUAUAUCCUCACCAUUUUUCAUUUUUAAUCAUGGAAAUGAUUGCUACCUGAAACAUGUGUUUUUUCUGCUGGUCUAAUUUCUUCCCCAAGGGCCCUUGAGGGCAGGGCCUUGUCCAUCACGUUCGUGUCUGAAUGCCCAGCACUUACAACAGAGUCUGCACGAAAGAGAGGCAUGAUCCGUGCUUCUUCAGUGAUGAAACACUCAGAUGAGGCAUUUGGGAGAGAUUCUGGACGCGUUUAGUCCAAACUCUGCAGACGUCAGUGCAUCCCAGCCCCCAUCUGGGACCAGUUUGAGGGUUUGUGAAACACUGCUGGUCUCCAAAGCGCUUAAAUGCCCAUAAAAAAGUAAAGUGGUUUGAAAUCAUGACAGACACUCUGGGACUGGGUCAGCGUCCGUGUUCUGGUCCCUGCUCUGCCCCCAAGUGUGUCUUAGGCUCCAGCACAGCUUUUUCCUAUGUGGUCUGUGAGGCAUAUUUAUGACGGCUGCUGUAAAUCCGGGUUGUCUUGAUGUUGGUGUCUAUGGAUUGUCUUUUCUCAUCCAUGUUCUGGUUGCCACUCUGCCCCCAAGUGCGUCUUCACAGCUGGAGCCCAAGCCUCUCACAACCUCUUUCUAAGGUUUCUACCAAAUCCACAAUCUUGUAAACUGUUUUUACGAGUGGAUAGGAUAACAUUCUGUUUCAAAGUACUUAAUAAAAUGUGUGUUGGUCGGGAUUCGGUAACAGAACCGCUAGGCAGGGUAGGAAUUGAUACAAAGGGACUAGGUACAGGAACUUGCUUCUGAUGCCUGGGGGAGCUGGUCCAGAUGCCUCUGCAAACUGGUGACUUUGUGGCUAUGCCAGACCCUGACGCCACAGCGUGGGCGGAUGGAAAGGAAGGUGGUAGGGUGAAGCUGGGGCUGGGGCCCUGGAGGGCACCCUGAACCUACCAGUUGUCCCUGGGCCUGACCUUGGGAGUUUGGUCCUGCAGGGGACAGGGGACAGUGGCCCCUUUGCCCUAGGGUUAGGACACACCCAGCCUAGGGGUGAGAGCAACGGGGCCCAGGGGCAAAUGCACUAUUAGUCCGGUCUGCUGUCCCACCCCAGUGAGGUGAGCCUGCAGAUAAAGGGCCAGGAGCCCCAGCUUCCUGGUGGCUGCCACCAGGAGGGGCCCUGGGCCCACCCUAACUGGAGACAUACAGGUAAGGGGGCUCUGGGCAGCGCAGUCCUGCCAGGGCAGGUUGCAGGGACCAAGCUGCCAUGAGGCAGGUUUGUGAUUUCAUGAAAUAAUUUUCAAGCACAUACAGGAAGGAACAAUUUCCCUUUUUUUUGGGGGGGUGGUCUCUGAGCCUCAGUGGUGUCUGUAAUCCUAUCGGUGUUGUGAUAACAAAAACAGACACGGGUGGAGAGCAAGUGGAGAGACUCUGCGCAUCCAGUGCGAGGGUCUCGAAGGAGCUGGGCCAUCCCAUCCAUCCUUCGUGUUUUAUUGAUGAGAAAUCCAAGGGCUGCUAAAUGCCCAUAUCUGUCCUGGGUCCCUCCUGUGUGGUGACACCUUUGGGGUAGAACUCGGGGAUCUGGUGACCAGCCCCAGCCCAUUGGAUGGUCUUAUCUCUCUCAUCUCUGCCUCUAGGAACACAGGCUGGUGGCUUCUCUGCGGGUCGUGGGGGGAAGAUCAGUGGAUCUUACAUCACCAGGGACAUGCACUCGCCCCCAGGACUGCUGCCAAGGAGAAGUGUCUGAGGGAGAAGUUUCCAGCAACGCUUUUUUUUCCUCAUUAUUUACGGUUUUAUUGAAGCAUAGUUGAUUUACAAGGUGGUGAUAAUUUCUGCUCUACAACAAAGGGAUGCAGUUAUACGCACACACACAUCCAUUCUUUUCCAGAUUCUUCCUCAUAUAGAUUAUUAAGAAUAUUCCAGCAACCCUCUCGCCUGCCUGUCCUCUGAGCAGCUGGGCCUGGGGUUCCAGAGCCUGGGGGUGUGACGUGGCUGGUGGAAGACAGACCAGAGUCAUCCCUUUCUGUUCUCUGUACCCGAAGUUCAGAGGUAGAGACUGCUGUGUCCACAGCCCCCCCGAGUUUUACCCUCCACAUCCUACAUUGGAGCACAGCUGCAAGGUUCCUGGGGACUGACCUGAGUUGGUGUGAAAGGAAAAGCAGCUGGAAUCAGCCAUGGACAGACCAAAGCCAUCCUGGGUGCACGCCAACAAGUAGAAACACCCUGAGUACACCUUGUAUCAGUGGCUGAUAUGCAGAGUUUUCUUUUUUCUUUUUUUUUCUUUUUGCUUUUUAGGGACUCACCCGAGGCAUAUGGAAGUUCCCAGGCUAGGGGUUGAAUCAGAGCUACAACUGCCAGCCUACACAAUAGCUACAGCAAUGCAGGAUCCAAGCCAAGUCUGUAACCACACCACAGCUCACGGCAAGGCCCGAUCCUUAACCCACUGAGCAAGGCCAGGGAUCAAACCCACAACCUCAUGGUUCCUAGUGGGAUUCAUUUCCACUGCGCCAUGAUGGGAACUCAAGUUUUCUUAUUUUAAUUCACAAAGAGGCUCUUCCCAGAGUUAAGGACUGAUUCACCGGUCCCCAUAUGUGACACUUUAUAGUUUUAUGGGUAUUUACUGUGAUCAUCAACUUGGCAUUUAUAAGUUUGGUCUUCUUAACUUCCUUAGCACCCAAACACAGAGCUAAAACAUUAACUGAAGUUCAUAGGCUAUAAAAUGGCACAGGUGGGCAGACCCUCCCUGGGCAAGGCCCCCAUCACGCCCUGGAGCUGAGAGAGGACGGGACUGCCAGGGAGGGGGCCGCUGAGUCACUGUGUGCACAGCAGCAGACGUGGCCUGGAGAGCUGUGAGCAGGAUGUAUUUACUGCUCUUAACUCAUAAAGAGAUGUAAAAGUGAUGGUCUUUAAGGCAGCGCUGAGAGCCUGCCAUCUGCCAGGAACCUCAGCAAAUGCCAAGAAGGGACAUCAUUUCUUGGCAGAACGUUCCUCUUUCUAAGGAAAUCCUUAAAUCCAAACUAGCCUGUUAAGUGAAGAAAUGCAGAAAAAAAAAAUCUCAGCUUAGGGACGAGGCCUACUUAUAGAGUGUCUAUUCUGCAGGAAGUCGUUUUCAGAAGUUCCCAUCGUGGUUCACUGGUAACCAGCCCGACUAGUAUCUAUGAGGAUGUGGAUUCGAUCCCUGGCCUUGCUCAGUGGGUUAAGGAUCUGGCAUUACUGUGAGCUGUGGCCUAAGUCACAGACACGGCUUGGAUCCUGAGUUGCUGUGGCUGUGGUGCAGGCCAGCAGCUGUAGCUCUGAUUCAACCCCGAGCCUGGGAACUUCCAUAUGCUGCAGGUGUAGCCCUAAAAAGCAAAAAGCAAAUAG